GACGAACGCUGGCGGCGUGCUUAACACAUGCAAGUCGAACGGAAAGGCCCUGCUUUUGUGGGGUGCUCGAGUGGCGAACGGGUGAGUAACACGUGAGUAACCUGCCCUUGACUGUGGGAUAACUUCAGGAAACUGGGGCUAAUACCGGAUAGGAGCUCCUGCUGCAUGGGGUGGGUUGGAAAGAUUCGGCGGUUGGUGAUGGACUCGCGGUUUAUCAGCUUGUUGGUGAGGUAGUGGCUUACCAGGGCUUUGACGGGUAGCCGGCCUGAGAGGGUGACAGGCCACAUUGGGACUGAGGUGCGGGCAAGACUCCUACGGGAGGCAGGAGUGGGGAAUAUUGCGAGAUGGGCGGAAGCAGUGUGCAGCAACGCCGCGUGCGGGAUGACGGCCUUCGGGUUGUAAACCGCUUUCGCCUGUGACGAAGCGUGAGUGACGGUAAUGGGUAAAGAAGCACCGGCUAACUACGUG
rnacentral:rRNA from 1 species